ensembl:lncRNA
AAAUUCAGUAAUUAUACAGGUAAUCAUUUAAUUAGAAUUAUGAACUGGUACAAAAAUGAUGCGAAGAACACAAAACACAGAGACCUAAUCUAAUCUGGGAGUCAGGAAGUGUUUCUCUGAGGAUGUGCCAUUGAAGCUGAGUCCUGAAUUUCAGCCAAGCCAAGUUGGGGGAUACGGGGGAGACUCAUUCCUAGGAAAGGUAACAGUAUUUGCAAAGCCCCUGAGGCAAGGAAGAGGUCACUGUGUCCAGAGAAGUAUCUGGAAAGCAGAGAGGAAACAGAAAAGUGCAAGAGAAGCACAGGUGGAGAGGUUCAGUUUACCAGAGUGUUGUGGGCUGAAUUGCGUCUUUCUCAAAAUUCAUAUAUUGAUGUCCUACAUACACUCAGAACCUCAGAAUGUGAAUGAUUUGGAGACAGGGCAAUAAAGUGGUAAUUAAGGUAAAAUGAAGCCAUUAGAGUGAAUCCUGAGCUAAUGUCCUUAAGAAGAGGCGAUUAGGACAUAGACACAUAUUUCAAUGUUUAAUUUUUCUCUUCUAACAUUUAAUAAUUUAACAUUUAUUUAUUCUACAGUCCCUCUCUUUUUUUAACUAUAGUUCUAUUACCUAAAAUAUCUUGGGGUUUAAUUCUGCUGUGUUUACUCUUUUUCCCUUGGCUCUAAAGGUGGAUGUUACCUUGGAUGUGCUGUAAUUUUGAAAGGCGAGCUCAUUUUUGAUAAGCUUUAGCUGGAGGCAUCAUGUAUGGCCUGUGAUGAAGUUUUAUCACACAAGAUUUUUCUCUCAAUUUGCUUCUGCUGGGAAUACAUUGAAUCUCAAUAUAGAAUGUUCAGGGCUGUGUGGUUUGACAUGAAGCUCGUAUGACGUGCAUGUUUAUGAUUACAAUUUCUCUGCAAAGUCUUAUUUUCUACCCUGUACCCAGACCUCUUAUUUUCUACCUGCUUACUUAUUUCCUCUUUGUGCUAGUGUGAAGGUUAUUUCUCAUCUACCAUGUCACUGAAGGAGAAGCCCUUAAAUAAUCCUGGAUUUAUGUUAAGAGGUUCAGUUUCAGUUCCCCACCUCCCUGCAGAAUUGCCAAGGCCUUGUCUUCUGUGUCUUUCUGGGCAUGACAGUGAAAGCUUCUAGGUUUCUGAGACGUAGCUACCACCCUAGCCUUCCCCUCCGCCAGCCCCAGCUCCUACAACCUGCCUUGUUAGUUCAUGUGAUUACCUCUUGGGCUCUCAGUUCCUUCUUUCUUUUGGACCCUGGUAAUGUCUCUUACUUUCCUGCAAACUCAGCUCUGGAGUGAAGAAGCUAAUGAAGACGUUACAUGGAAAAACUUGACUGCCACUCUGUUCCCUUCACUAAUAAUUCAGUUCUAAAGCCGUUAGGCAAAGCAGGACAAGGUAGGAGAUUUUUAGGGUCCGAGGAGGAUGAGAGAAUGUCCAGUGAAGGAUGGUAGGCAAACUAGCCCGAGGAAUCAGCCUGAACAAUGCGAGAAGGUCUUCUCACAGAGGACUCAGCACCUGGGCAGGGAUAGGACAGCAUCUCUGCGUGGGAGGGGUUCAGAGCAGGGAUGGGGGACCGGAUGCGUAAAGUAGGCUGAUUGCAUAAGUACAUAUCUGGAGAAUUUUGGAAACUUGUCUUCUCAUAUUACGGAAGGGAUUAUGAAUGUGAAAAGAGAGAAAACUGCAUUCAACGUGUGAUCGGAUGUGUAAGCAUGAACUCAUGGUUUUCAGUAUCUACAGACAGAUGUAAAUUAUAUAUAGAUAGGUUUCAAUUUUUAUAGGUAGGAAUAAAUUCCAAUGUAAAUAUAUGGUACACAUAUACAUAUACCUCUUGGCUCUGCCUUCUGAUAGGGCCUGCACGCAGAAACACUCCAACAGUGAAUAUUCACAGCACCCAAGUAUCGGCUUCUAAAUACCCAUUUUCCAGUUUAAAAAGUGGGGGACAUUUUAGAGAAAUUGCUGAUUCUGAGGCAGGGGCAAAGAAAAGGGAUUUUAGAGAAAUGGCUGAUUCUGGGGCAGAAGGAGGAAAAAAUACAAGAAAAACCUGGAACUUCUAUGAUAAACCAAAGAAGUGUUUUAAAAAUGAUGGAGACAUAUCAAAAGGACCUAGAAGACAACUUAAAUGGCCUCUUACUGGCCACAUUAGACAUAAUUUGAGUAUCAAA